GACGAACGCUGGCGGCGUGCUUAACACAUGCAAGUCGAACGGAAAGGCCCUGCUUUUGUGGGGUGCUCGAGUGGCGAACGGGUGAGUAACACGUGAGUAACCUGCCCUUGACUUUGGGAUAACUUCAGGAAACUGGGGCUAAUACCGGAUAGGAGCUCCUGCUGCAUGGUGGGGGUUGGAAAGUUUCGGCGGUUGGGGAGGGACUCGCGGCUUAUCAGCUUGUUGGUGGGGUAGUGGCUUACCAAGGCUUUGACGGGUAGCCGGCCUGAGAGGGUUACCGGCCACAUUGGGACUGAGAUACGGCCCAGACUACUACGGGAGGCAGCAGUGGGGAAUAUUGCACAAUGGGCGGAAGCCUGAUGCAGCAACGCCGCGUGCGGGAUGACGGCCUUCGGGUUGUAAACCGCUUUCGCCUGUGACGAAGCGUGAGUGACGGUAAUGGGUAAAGAAGCACCGGCUAACUACGUG
rnacentral:rRNA from 1 species